rnacentral:rRNA from 1 species
GGUGAACGCUAGCUACAGGCUUAACACAUGCAAGUCGAGGGGCAGCACUAGGGAGCAAUACUGAGGUGGCGACCGGCGCACGGGUGGGUAACGCGUAUCCAACCUUCACGUUACUCUGGGAUAGCCUUCCGAAAGGGAGAUUAAUAUCUGUUGGUGUUGAAAUUCCGCAUGUUAUUUCAACUAAAGAGUUAUCGGUAAGGGAUGGGGAUGCGUGACAUUAGGUAGAUGGCGGGGUAACGGCCUACCAUGCCUACGAUGUCUAGGGGUUCUGAGAGGAAGGUCCCCCACACUGGAACUGAGACACGGUCCAGACUCCUACGGGAGGCAGCAGUGAGGAAUAUUGGUCAAUGGACGAGAGUCUGAACCAGCCAAGUAGCGUGAAGGAUGACUGCCCUAUAGGUUGUACUCUUCUUUUGUUUGGGCAUCCCUUUCCUUACGUGUACCUAUUUGUAUGUACCAUUCGAAUAAGCAUCGGCUAAUUCCGUGCCAGCAGCCGCGGUAAACC